CAACAAGGAUCCAUCCCCCAUAUCUCUAUCCUUCUCUUAUUUUGUUCUAUCUUGCUUCAUAUAGUUCUAGAUUUUCCAUUCAUUAUAAAAACCCAUAAAAAGUCAUAUUUGCUUCUGUUCUUCAUUUAUCAUUUAGUUUUCUUUCUGUUCAUCAUUUUGAUUCAUAAAAACUCAUAAAAAUAACACUCUUCUGUUUCAGGAACCAGAUCAGCCAU
rnacentral:lncRNA from 1 species